GUGAAUUAAACAUGCUUGGUGUCUUCGCUUCGGCAAGACCCUUGCUUAAAUCACAUCCUAACACCUGUGAACUGUAAGGCGUAUGAUAAAGCUUCGGCUGCAUCGUCGUCUGCCCUUUUUAACAAACAAUUAAUGUAACAAACGUAGUCUUAUUAUAACCUAAUAAAACUUUCAACAACGGAUCUCUUGGCUCUCGCAUCGAUGAAGAACGCAGCGAAAUGCGAUAAGUAAUGUGAAUUGCAGAUUUCAGUGAACCAUCGAAUCUUUGAACGCACCUUGCGCUCUUUGGUAUUCCGAAGAGCAUGCCUGUUUGAGUGUCAUGAAAAUAUCAACCUUGACUUGGGUUUUGUGCUCGAGUCUUGGCUUGGAUGUGGGUGCUUGCCGCUUUAACGAGCGGCUCACCUUAAAUGUAUUAGCUGGAUCUGUCUUUGAGACUUGGUUUGACUUGGCGUAAUAAGUAUUUCGCUAAGGACAUUCUUCGGAAUGGCCUCGUUUCUGGGACGCUUGUCCGCUUUCCAAUACAAGUUCCAUUCGUGGACAUGACUUUUUAUUA
rnacentral:misc_RNA from 1 species